UCGUCAGCUCGUGUCGUGAGAUGUUGGGCUAAGUCCCGCAACGAGCGCAACCCUUGUUAUUAGUUGCCAGCAUUAAGUUGGGCACUCUAAUGAGACUGCCGGUGACAAACCGGAGGAAGGUGGGGAUGACGUCAAGUCAUCAUGCCCCUUAUGACCUGGGCUACACACGUGCUACAAUGGGCAGUACAACGAGAAGCAAGCCUGCGAAGGCAAGCGAAUCUCUGAAAGCUGUUCUCAGUUCGGACUGCAGUCUGCAACUCGACUGCACGAAGCUGGAAUCGCUAGUAAUCGCGGAUCAGCACGCCGCGGUGAAUACGUUCCCGGGCCUUGUACACACCGCCCGUCACACCAUGGGAGUCUGCAAUGCCCAAAGCCGGUGGCCUAACCUUCGGGAAGGAGCCGUCUAAGGCAGGGCAGAUGACUGGGGUGAAGUCGUAACAAGGUAACCGUA
rnacentral:rRNA from 1 species